GUACAAGAUAUACAUAUAAAAAGGUUCCCUAACCAUGCAGUCAUUCCAAAGCUGAUUACAUUCUCUAAAACAGCCUGACAAAAACA